rnacentral:rRNA from 1 species
AUACAUAGGGGGCAAGCGUUAUCCGGAUUUACUGGGCGUAAAGGGUGCGUAGGUUGUUAUUUAAGUUUCUGGUAUAAGCACAAUGCUUAACGUUGUGAGGCUGGGAAAACUAGAUAGCUAGAGUAAGACAGAGGCAAGUGGAAUUCCAUGUGUAGCGGUAAAAUGCGUAAAUAUAUGGAGGAACACCAGUGGCGAAGGCGGCUUGCUGGGUCUUGACUGACGCUGAUGCACGAAAGCGUGGGGAGCAAACAGGAUUAGAUACCCUGGUAGUCCACGCCGUAAACGAUGAGUACUAAGUGUUGGCCAAAAGGUCAGUGCUGAAGUUAACGCAUUAAGUACUCCGCCUGAGUAGUACGUGCGCAAGCAUGAA